CGCCGCGGCCAGCCGCGCCUGCCUGGAGCCCCCUGGCCAGCGGCCGGCCGCUGGGGCCGAGUAUUGUCCCAAAGGCCGAAAAGAGACGAAAGCGGGGAGAUUGGGGGACGGCCACGUGACCGGGGGAGGAUUUACAAUAUUUUCUUUCGCUGUCGACAAUAUUGCAAAAUGUAUGGAAGGGACCGCACGGCCAGGACAGGAGCGUGAGCGCGCGGGCAAGACAGGUUCUCGAAGCGCCCGCGCUGUGCCCGCCGGAGCCUGGGGUCUCUCCAUUUCACCCGGGAGGAAUCUGAGGGGCAGAGGCCAGCUUACCGACACGACACACGCUGAGGGGACUCAAACCCGGUCUGGUCCAAGCCCGGAGCCCAGCUCCUUCCCUCCUUCCACUUCUGUCUCAGCGAGGAGAAAGGCGUGCGUUUCCCCCCUACCGGAAAUCUGAUGGGCUUAUGACAUCAUGGCUGGCUGCUGAGCGAUGAAGUGGAUGCCACAAAGAAAUCCGACAUAUCAGAUGGAUUCUGAAAUCAGUUUCCCUCUGGCUGCGGUAACAGGCGUGAAGUCAGGAGAAUGUGAGCUUUGUUUAAGAAACAAAAAAAUAAAACUAAGCCCCGUCCCGCAUUCGAUACAAUUUUUUUUUUUUUUUUUUAAGCAAACAGACCUUUUGGACAUCAUCCUAUUUUAAUAAAGACGCUGGCGUGUAUGAAAUGAAAGCGGCUAAUAAAUCAGACCUGAAGCUGCCUGUGAACAUUCCCUUUUGGCUGAGUUUUUGUGUGUCCUUCUUCACUAAUAAAAGAGGAACUGGGAA